rnacentral:rRNA from 1 species
UACGUAGGGGGCAAGCGUUGUCCGGAAUUAUUGGGCGUAAAGAGCGUGUAGGCGGCCAGAUAAGUCCGCUGUGAAAUCUCGAGGCUCAACUUCGAGCUGUCGGUGGAAACUAUCUGGCUAGAGUCCGGAAGAGGAGAAUGGAAUUCCUGGUGUAGCGGUGAAAUGCGCAGAUAUCAGGAAGAACACCCGUGGCGAAGGCGGAUCUCUGGGCCUUACCUGACGCUCGAGGCGCGAAAGCUAGGGGGCGA